GCUAAGACUGGAUAGGAAGAAAUAAGGCAUCUUUUUUCUUUUAAAAGACCUAGUGAUAGGUAUACUUUAGGAGGGGCUUGCGCCAUAUUAGUUAGUUGGUAGGGUAAUGGCCUACCAAGACGAUGAUGUGUAGCUGGACUGAGAGGUUGAACAGCCACAUUGGGACUGAGACACGGCCCAAACUCCUACGGGAGGCAGCAGUAGGGAAUUUUCGGCAAUGGAGGAAACUCUGACCGAGCAACGCCGCGUGAACGACGAAGUACUUUGGUAUGUAAAGUUCUUUUAUCAAGGAAGAAAAGCAAGUGGUGAACCAUUUGUUUGCCGGUACUUGAUGAAUAAGCCCCGGCUAAUUAUGUGCCAGCAGCCGCGGUAAGACAUAAGGGGCAAGUGUUAUCCGGAAUUAUUGGGCGUAAAGGGUGCGUAGGCGGUCUAGUAAGUCAGUGGUGUAAUGGCAACGCUCAACGUUGUCCGGCUAUUGAAACUGCUAAACUUGAGUUAGAUAGAGGCGAGUGGAAUUCCAUGUGUAGCGGUAAAAUGCGUAAAUAUAUGGAGGAACACCAGAGGGCGUAGGCGGCUCGCUGGGUCUUAACUGACGCUGAGGCACGAAAGCGUGGGGAGCAAACAAGGAUUAGAUACCCUGGUAGUCCACGCCGUAAACGAUGAGUACUAAGUGUCGGGUUAAACCGGUACUGAAGUUAACACAUUAAGUACUCCGCCUGAGUAGUACGUACGCAAGUAUGAAACUUAAAGGAAUUGACGGGACUCCGCACAAGCGGUGGAUCAUGUUGUUUAAUUCGAAGAUACCCGAAAAACCUUACCAGGUCUUGACAUGUUUUUGCGAAACGGUAGUAAUAUCGUGGAGGUUAUCAGAAACACAGGUGGUGCAUGGUUGUCGUCAGCUCGUGUCGUGAGAUGUUAGGUUAAGUCCUAAAACGAGCGAAACCCUUAUCGUUAGUUGCCAGCACGUUAUGGUGGGGACUUUAACGAGACUGCCAGUGAUAAAUUGGAGGAAGGUGAGGAUCACGUCAAAUCAGCAUGCCCCUUAUGACCUGGGCUACAAACGUGAUACAAUGGCUGUUACAAAGGGUAGCUGAAACGCAAGUUCUUGGCCAAUCCCCAAAAACAGUCUCAGUCCGGAUUGAAGUCUGCAACUCGACUUCAUGAAGUUGGAAUCGCUAGUAAUCGCGAAUCAGCAUGUCGCGGUGAAUACGUUCUCGGGGUUUGUACACACCGCCCGUCA
rnacentral:rRNA from 1 species